rnacentral:rRNA from 1 species
AACGCGAAGAACCUUACCAGGUCUUGACAUCCCGCUGACCGCUAUGGAGACAUAGCUUUCCCUUCGGGGACAGCGGUGACAGGUGGUGCAUGGUUGUCGUCAGCUCGUGUCGUGAGAUGUUGGGUUAAGUCCCGCAACGAGCGCAACCCUUGUUCUUAGUUGCCAUCAUUUAGUUGGGCACUCUAAGGAGACUGCCGGUGACAAACCGGAGGAAGGUGGGGAUGACGUCAAAUCAUCAUGCCCCUUAUGACCUGGGCUACACACGUGCUACAAUGGACGGUACAAACGGUUGCGAAGUCGCGAGAUGGAGCCAAUCCGAUAAAACCGUUCUCAGUUCGGAUUGUAGGCUGCAACUCGCCUACAUGAAGCCGGAAUCGCUAGUAAUCGCGGAUCAGCAUGCCGCGGUGAAUACGUUCCCGGGCCUUGUA